rnacentral:rRNA from 1 species
GGGGGCCCGCACAAGCGGUGGAGCAUGUGGUUUAAUUCGAAGCAACGCGAAGAACCUUACCAGCCCUUGACAUGCCAAGACGACUUCCAGAGACGGAUUUCUUCCCUUCGGGGACUUGGACACAGGUGCUGCGUGGCUGUCGUCAGCUCGUGUCGUGAGAUGUUGGGUUAAGUCCCGCAACGAGCGCAACCCUCGCCUUUAGUUGCCAUCAUUCAGUUGGGCACUCUAGAGGGACUGCCGGUGACAAACCGGAGGAAGGUGGGGAUGGCGUCAAGUCCUCAUGGCCCUUAUGGGUAGGGCUUCACACGUCAUACAAUGGUACAUACAGAGGGCCGCCAACCCGCGAGGGGGAGCUAAUCCCAGAAAGUGUAUCGUAGUCCGGAUCGCAGUCUGCAACUCGACUGCGUGAAGUUGGAAUCGCUAGUAAUCGCGGAUCAGCAUGUCGCGGUGAAUACGUUCCCGGGUCUUGUACACACCGCCCGUCACACCAUGGGGGCGGGUUUUACCAGAGGUAGGUAGCUUAACCGCAAGGGGGGCGCUUACCACGGUAGGAUUCGUGACUGGGGUGAA